GCCCCGAGGGCGCAGACUGCGGGGGGCGGGGGGGAGCGCUGCGGUUCCCUCGCCCGGAGGAGGCCGCCCGCCCGCAGCCCGUGCCCCGCGUGUCCCCUCACCUCCAGGCGGGCCCCCUGUGGCCCUUCUCAUCCCCGAUCUCCCGGCGGCCCCUCGUUGCGUCCUCCCCACCUGCAUGAGGUCCCUCCCCGCGCUCCCCACGCCCACCCCCCCCCCUCCGGGCCGCUCCCGCGCCCCCUCACCUCGGGGCGCCGCGGCCGCGGACUCUGGGCAGUCGACGCGCCGAACCGGCUCUGGGCCCCGCGCAGCUCUGCCACUUCCUCGUGGGCGGGGGGCGGGGCCUGGGCGGUUGGAGAGCCCUGGUCCCGCCCACCCCCCCGGGGCUGGGGCCGAGCCGACCCGGGGCGCCCUGACGGCGUGCGCCCCUCGCCCCCUGGCGGGCGGGGAGACUGAGGCUCGGCGAGGGCGGCACCGCCCGGGCGGGAACCCGAGCCCGGCAGCGCGCACGGCCCCCACCCCCGCGAGCGGCCUUGGGGAGCGCCGGUGGCCCAGCAGCUUAGCUGCCUCUCCCGGCCUCAGGCCCCGGCCGCGCGGGGACCAGCCCUCCAUUCGCGAGCGGAUGCCCGCUGGGCGCCCAGUGUGCGGGGUGUGGGCAGUCAGGGGAGCCGAGGCAGCCCGCCCGCCGCCGGGGUCCUCGCUUCAAAACGGGGGCGCCAACCCCCGGCUGGUCCAGUUCCUUCUCAGUGCCGACUUCCUGCCCCUCUUUCCACCGCAGACCGCUUCCGACCCUUAAGGUACCCAGCGGCCUCGCAGCCGCCUGUAUGUGGGUCUUGGGCCAGGUAGGCCCGGCGGUCUCUCCAACCCUGCCCUCUGCCUCAUCAGUGGAGAUGUGGCCAGGUGGUCCCUCCCGCUAGGAUUCAGCUCAGCUGGUCAGCCAGGCACUAAGUAGCAUCACGGAUGGGCGUGGGGUCUUCGUGGGUCUCAGGAGGUCCGGGGCCAGGCACCCACCCUGUCAGGGCUCCCCGCUUUGACCCAUGCUGUUCUUUCUGCCUGGAACACUUGUCCCACGCUGUCCCCACCUGGCCCGCUUCCCUUUAUCCUGCAGGACAUGAGUGAGUGUCUCUUAGGUCACUCUGUCCCUGACCCCCUCCUCAACAGGAUCCUGUGCUCACCAGUCCUGGCUCCCAUUACACAAUUCAACACCUGGGGGCAGCCGGGAGAAUGAAAGGUGUCCAAAGGUGAGGAGCACUUUGAGGUGAGCACACAGGGUGCUUGGGAAACUUCAGCUUCAAUUAGUAGGACCCUGGCCUUCCUGGCUCUGAGGAGACACUGAGGGGCUGUCAGCAGGGCCCCCCAUCCAGCCUUGGCAAAUCCAAGUGAUGGCUUUAGUCAGAGAAAAGUUUCAGAUGGUCUGUACUGGCCACCCCCAUCCCGUGAGGACAAGUGCAGUUUAAUGCUGAGGUGACACUUGUGUCCCUGCCUUCCAUUUACCCCUCUGCAGCUUUGCAGAUGCCCAGGGAACCAUCCCAGGUGGGACUGAGCCCCAUCUCUGAUGGUGGCCCCUGAGUGCUCUCACCCAAUCAGCUUGUGGUCUCCCCGCCCCACCUCCUGGACUUGUGACCUGAGACAGUGGGUCAAAGCAAAGCCCAGGAUUUCGAAUGAAGGUAGAGGGGAAAGCAGCGCCUUCUGGAAUUUGAACACGAAAGUGGAAGAGCCACAGGGAAGCCUGACAACCCGGGGUGGGGGGGAGGGGGGAGCAUGAUGGAGAGAAUCCCAGGAAAUGACCAGAGCCCUGGUCAACCUCUGACUGGCAGCCUGAGCCCAACCUGCCUCCGGGGGUUUCUUCAGGUACGUGAGCCAAGGAAUCUACUUUUUAAGCUGGUUUGAGUUGCUUUUCUGUUACUCAUCCCUAAAAGCAUCCUAACAAAUAUGCACGGCUGAGGACUCCCUCUUCCUCACGAAACUGAGCUAAUUUGAUGAGAAGAAGACUCAAGCUUAGUGCGAGCAGAAACCAUAUUUGUAUUAUUCACGCUGCUCUUCCCGGGGCCGAGAUCAGUGCCUGCCAGCCAGGAGCACUCGCCCCUGCCCACCCCCGAAUGGGGACCAUAGGUCUCCCCCCUGAGAUCGAAGAUUGACACCCGGUACCAGGAGGGAAGAGGGGAGACCCUGGGCCUCCUUCCAAAGCCACGCACACAUGGAGGUCUGGAACACACACAGCACUCCUCAGCCGGGGCCUGCUCACACCCCUUCCAAGCCGCACGGCUCAACUGAGAAACUGAGGUCUACCAGGAGACCCCACAGAUGUGGCAGUCACAGUUCUAACCCUGCAGGGUUGCUGUGAGGAGUUCCUGCCUAUCAGCUGCUUCCCUUGGUGCCCGGCACCGUGACCUUGUGUGCGUGGCACACGUUCUUGCUGUGUUGGAUCCGCGGAUCCUUCCUCAUCAAGCCCCACUCAGGUGAAGACAGUGAGGCUCAGAGAUGUUAACUAUGUUGCUCAAGGCCACGCAGCUUGGCAGAACUAUGACCUGACGCCAAAGCCUCCAAUCAAAGGGCUUUGGCCACUGUCCCUCCAAAUCGGUGGCGGCUGUGGACCGAGGCCUGGUCAGAGUCUCACAAGCAGGGCGAGAUGAGAAGCGACCUUCCACCAUCUCAGACCCCAGCACUGCAGGUUUCUGGCUGCCACGACAGGGAUGGGCCUUCUUCCAUGGAUGUGAGAUGGCCCAAGUUAAAAAAAGAAAAAAGAUGACUCUAGGCUUAAGUUCUUGGAGGCCAAGUUAGUAAAUUUAUUGUUUCUUUCACAGAAUACAUUGUUUCUCUAAAAACCUCUCGAAUUGCUCCCAAGCCACGUGAUUUAAUGAAACUAAAAAGAAA